GACUCAGUGCAUCAAAGGCUGGAGAAAGAACCACCCUAGAACUGAGCGCCACAGCCUUCGGAAGCUGCACAAGACUGCAACACGGUGACAGCUUCUAUUUCUAACAGCAAACCUAAAAAGCUCAGGAACCAAAAUAAAACGGAUAGAAAUGUAACCACUCAGAGUAUGACGACAGUACUCAAAGCAACUCACGAGCAUUUCCCCACACUGUCUUCCAAAAUGUGAUUUUUUUUUUAAUGGCCACAUUGGAGAACUGCUAUGAGCAGACCCUGAUUUAUAUAACCCUUCCCAGCACCUCAUGUAUCAUCAUUAUUAAAAAACACUAUGGGGAUCAUGCUUUCACAUAACUUUGUCUUAUUUGUUAUCUACAUAGCCUAAGCAAAUAGUAAAUGAUGGACAAUGAAAAUAAUUUUCAAUGUUUAGGGGAAAUAAAGAAAAAUACCUGCAUUUCAAUUUUUUAAAAAAACCAUAAAAUCUAUCUUUUAAAAAAGGAAUGAGUAAGCUGGAAUCCACAAUAGUUAGAAACCCAAAAGUGAUGCAGAGGGGAGGCAAAAAAAAAAAAAAAAAAACAACUAUAUUCUCCCCACUGAAACAAUGUAUCUUUCUCAACAGCCCAGUUUCAUCUGUAGCUGUAUUUUCCCCACUCAAAUGCCACCAUUAUUUAUAACAACAGAUGAGUAAAAAUCAAUUAAUAUUCCUUCAGCAUCUCUUAGGUGUCUUCAAUCCUGUGCGCUGUCAUCCCUUUAAAGAGGAAGGAAAAGAUCCACAGCUAGGAAACAGACUCAGAAACUCAAACCCAGGUCUCUGGACCCCACAGGGAGGUGAGGAACAGCCAAGAGCAAUCUGUGUCCAUUACUGGCCUCAAAUGACCACAUGGAAACACUGUGUGCAGAGCCAGCCCCCCAAGCCCGUGGCGGUCCUCCUUGGAGGUGAUGGGGUCUGGGGAGAGGUCAGAGUCAGGCUCACGUGAACUUCAGAAAGCCACUGCCCAGGAUAUGAGUGGACCGCAUGUCUGCCAUGGUCUGUCCCAGCUCCAAAGACGUCAGAACCCCACAGCGAUCGUUAUUCCCAAAGCCCUUUACACUUGGCUCCACAGCACACGGCAGAGAAAACCGACAGAAGGAAGGAUGUUCACAGGUGUCCACCCCUACCUAUGCCCCAGUGACCUGGAAAUAAAAUCCAUCAGGAGCGCCGGGGCCAGCCAGCUGGGGUGCGCUGGAGAGUAUGGGUGGCAGAGGGAACCCCGCUGUGGAUUGAUCAUUUGACACUGUGUUCAGCAUACCUUUUAAAAAAAUGUUGGUACCACGUAAAAAUAUAACCUAAAAAACAAGUACAUUUUUAAUGCUGAGAUGGAGAAUUUAGCACCUAUAAUCCUUCCAGAGAUGCACACUACGCAACCACGAGUCCCCUCUGGCUCUGAAUUCGGAGAGCAGCUACCAACACAGGCCUCCGCUGCCUGCAUUCAGCACACCUAUCGGAAAGCGCCAGUGCUGGCAUGGGCUUUCCCUCCCUGGUAGCUGCUCCUCCUGCACCCCCGUGCCCAGGCACUCCGGCCAGAAACAAGUGAGGAGUCUGGGGACUGAUUCUCCCCAUCUCACCUCCCACAUCUACCCAGGUACCACACCCUGCCAUCUGUCUCCUGCUGCCCUCUGUCACUGCAGGAGCCCCUGGAGAGCACAUCACCCCUCACUAGGCUGCAGCCACAGCCCCUCUCAGAAAACCCUGCUGUCUGCUUUCCAGUGCAGCCCUGUCUAAUCACCCUCCAUGGACCCUCCCCACAGCUCUUCCCCCAUAGCCUCAGGUUGGAGCACCCAGCUUUCGCCUGCAGAAGCCCCUCCAUGCCCCCGACACAGCACCCCAUGAACAACUCAGCUGGCACCGCUACUGUCUCCAGCCUGGUCUCACCAGCCCCCUUGAGCCGGGGACUGUAGCCUUUCCAAGCCACUGGCAGCCAAAAGACCCCCUUCCCCAGCUGCUGUGUGUGGCCCUGGCCAUGCUCCUUGUCUGUAAGGCCAUUCUAACACCUCGCCUCCUGCCAGCCCCUACGCCCGGUUUAUUCCAUGUCAGGAGGUAUGGCCUCCAUCCCCUGAUGGCCCACUCCUCCUUACAUGCCCAGCCUUGUGUCCUCACCACUCCCCCACAGCUCAGACAGGCCUGCCCUGCCCCUGGGCUUGGGCAUCCCCACGGUUUCCCUGCCAGUGGGCAUCCUCACAGUUCCUUCGCCUCCAGAGGCCCAGCACCCAGUUCUGCCUCAGCCCCAGGCACAUGGACCUUCCCUUGGGGUCUUAGUGUCUCUUUCUCAGACUUGCCUUUUCUUGGUAGUUUGACGGUCACCCACCCAACCUCCUUCCCUGAAAGUCUGGUGCAGGAAGGGGUAAAAACACAGGCACAAAGGUCACCAGCAUGCCAGCCAGCACCAGCUCUGGAGAAAACAUGGACAGAAAGAUGUAUGCCCACCAUUCACUCAUUUGCAAGCUGGGAGAACUUACUUACUUCCUUGCCUGCUUGAGAAACAGCUGCUGCACCAGAGACUGGGUUUCAUAGUGUCUGAAUUCUCAAGGAAUUUGGAUGGAGGACAGUGAAUCUAUAACCGGCUACUGCACUUCUCACACUUACAGCUUGCUCAUUCGCAUUUUAAAGUCAAACCCUGAGCCCUCUCAUGCCAACAGUCACCUUCUCCCCUGAUCUUUUACAAUAACUGGGGAAAGGCAGCCCGGAGAACAGGCCAGGGCAGAGGUCAGGCUGCAAAACAUACUUUCCUAAGGACGCCCAGGCUGGAGGGGGCCCGGCAGCAGGUGGGUCUUUCUUUCAGGGUCUUCCUCCACCAAAUUCAGGACUAUUCCAGAAAGAGGCAGUGAGUCCCUGGAUGGGGAGACCGCUCCUCCUGAGCCUUCCCCACAGAUUGGAUCGGAGUGGAAGAUGCCCCAAGGUGACAGCACCUAGCAAGGCUGAUGCAGGCCUUCUGCCUGGCCCACAGGAGAGCCCCAGCCCCACUCCCCAGAUCACAGACGACCAAGGGGAUAUUUUCUCCCACACAGGCUCACUGUGUACAGGGGAAGUAAUCAUAGUGCCGUGCUUGGCACUUGGUCAUUUUAGCAACUAGGUGUUUUAGAAGGAAGCACAAGGACCUAGGAAGUGAGUCGAGCCCUGUCAGGCCUUGCCUCUCAGAUAGGAUCUGUUGGGUAGAUGGGCUCAUUGCCACUAACCAGACUCCUCUUCCAGGGAGCCUUCCCGAUUUACCAGGCUGCGUGAGGGCCCUCCCCUGUGCCUGUCUGGUGUCCCCGCCUACCUUGGCCACUGUCCGCAGACAUCACAGAGAGUUGAAGGGGCCUGGCUUGGGCCUGUGUGAGCCCCCAGCACCUGGGGCCUAUCCAUAGCAGGUGUCGGGGAAACUGCUGCAUGUUACUGCGUCCCAUCCGCAUGGCCUGGCUAUGAGGGGCCCUCAGCUCAGCACUCAGUGAGACCAACUCAACACUGAAAUGGUGGAGUCAGGGUGGCCCGUGCGUCCAGCAUUCCCAUUACCAUACUACAGAGCACGGGGCUGAGGAAACAGGCACUUGCCACCAUCACCGUCAUGACAAGUAGCCUCUCAAGACAGGAGGUAGAGAGCAUCUGGUCCCACGACCCUUACUGCACUCUUCCCUUGUCCUGCAGCCCAACUCCCUGCUCUAAACACAAAGUAGGACAUCCUCUUCUUCUGAGCUGCCUGGGUCCUGGCUCCCCUGCGACUUCCUUUCCUGCCUGAGCAGCCCUGAGCAGACAGUGCUGUGUCUUUCAUGACCAUCAUCACGUGGCCUAACAGACCAGGUCUGCAGACAAGUCCACUGCCAAGCAAGUCUCCGCGCGCAGUUCUGGGCCCCAGAUUCAGCCCAGUCCAGCCCAGCCUCAUUAGGGCCUCUGGACGGCCUGAGAGCAAGGCCUCGUGCUGUCCCUCUCUGAGGAAGGACUUGCCUCAGGCCUGGUUCUGAGAAGUAAACAGGGUGAUGUUCUGAAGCAGUGGACUUCAAACCAAACCCCCACAAAAUAAAUGUUUAAAACUACAUAUCUAUUUGCACAUUUUUAAGUUGAUAUGAAAAAUUUCUCAUCAUAAGUCUAAAUACUUGUAGAGGAUGUAAUUUCCAACAUACUGUAAAUAUUAACAUUUAAAAAUAAAACUGUUAACGUUUCUCUUUUAAAUGGAUCCAAUGGUAUCUAAAUACCAUGGUGAUUUGAGAUUCACCAUCAUCCAUUUUUAAAUUACAUAAUCAAGCUCUUCUUUAACUGUUGGAAAUUUAACAGUGUUCCUUUUUCCUCCACAAACUCUGAUCUCCCUCAGAGAUGUUUAUACUAUCACAGUGUAUUUUAUGCUUGAAAGCCUUAUACUGAUUAUCCUAUUAUACUACAGGGCCAAAAAAUACAAAAAUCAAUGUGUUAAUUUUUUUUAAUUUCCUGUAAUCAUAAAGCUCUGUCAAAAUUUUUCUCCCGGACUGAAUUAUAACAAUUACUAUAAGUAUACAACUGAUCAAUAAGACAGAAAUAUACUGCAAAAUUGUAUAAGAAAUAACCUUUAAAAAUAAACCUAAUUAGGCCAGGCACAGUGGUUCACGCCUAUAAUCCCAGCACUUUGGGAGGCCGAGGUGGGCAGAUCACCUGAGGUCAGCAGUUCAAAACCAGCCUGGUCAACAUGGUGAAACCCCAUCUCUACUUUAAAAAAAAAAAAAAAAAAA
rnacentral:antisense_RNA from 1 species